AUUCCCCCAGUAACGGCGAGCGAAGCGGGAGCAGCUCGAGCAGUCAAUCUCUGGCGUUGAUCGUCAGCGAAUUGUGGCCGGGAGAGGCGGGUGCACCCGAGGCGCCUCUGCCGAAGUUGACCUGGAAAGGCACGUCGGAGAGGGUGAUAACCCCGUUGCGGGGCGGAGGUGUCGAAGGCCGCUACCGUCUUCCGAGAGUCGGGUUGUUUGAGAUUGCAGCCCAAAGCGGGUGGUAAACUCCAUCUAAAGCCGAACAGCGGCACGAGACCGAUAGCGAACAAGUACCAUGAGGGAAAGGUGAAAAGCACUUUGGAAAGAGAGUUAAAGAGACCGCGAAACCGUUAGGAGGGAAACGCAUGCAGCCGAACUGGCCUUCGCCGGGUUCACGGGGUCGCGGCAGUCCUGGUCGUGCCGAGCGCCACCCUUCGCGGGGUCGUCGGUUCGACGAGGUCUCCUUGCCCCUGCAUUCCCGGCGUCGAGGCCGGCCAAGGGCGGUGGUGUCCGCGGCGAG
rnacentral:rRNA from 1 species